rnacentral:rRNA from 1 species
AACGAACGCUGGCGGCAGGCCUAACGCAUGCAAGUCGAACGCCCUAGCAAUAGGGAGUGGCAGACGGGUGAGUAACACGUGGGAACCUUCCCUAUAGUACGGAAUAGCCCAGGGAAACUUGGAGUAAUACCGUAUACGCCCGAGAGGGGAAAGAUUUAUCGCUAUAGGAUGGGCCCGCGUCGGAUUAGCUAGUUGGUGAGGUAAUGGCUCACCAAGGCAACGAUCCCUAGCUGGUUUGAGAGAAUGACCAGCCACACUGGGACUGAGACACGGCCCAGACUCCUACGGGAGGCAGCAGUGGGGAAUCUUGGACAAUGGGCGCAAGCCUGAUCCAGCCAUGCCGCGUGAGUGAUGAAGGCCUAGGGUUGUAAAGCUCUUUUGCCGGGGACGAUAAUGACGGUACCCGGAGAAUAAGUCCCGGCUAACUUCGUGCCAGCCGCCGCCGUAA